rnacentral:lncRNA from 1 species
GCUGUCAUCCUGCUUCGGGACUGUUCCUGCCGUGGUGAGUGAGCACCUUCCGAAGCUGCACCUGCCAAGGAGCAACUGUUUUUGGAGACCUCGCUGUGACAUCCUCAAAAACAGAUGAGCUGAGGAAAGGUUAUUUCACUUGGGAGGACACACUCAAGCAUCUAACACCUGACAUCUCAGAGACUUGGAAGCCAGCUGAGUUAGGAGAUAUAUUCAGUGAACAUAACAUUCUUGAGGUAACUAUAUUUAAACCAUGGCAAAUG